rnacentral:rRNA from 1 species
AAUAACGCUGGCGGCGUGCCUAAAACAUGCAAGUCGAACGGGCGAGCCCGACGGAUGUCGGGAACAACUCGCUAGGUGUGCAAACGGGUGAGUAACACGUUGGUAAUCUGCCUCAAAGUUCGAAUAAGCCUGCGAAAGCGGGUCUAAUACCGGAUGUGAUCCCACAAUACUUUUGUGUGAUUAAAGCCUUCGGGCGCUUUGAGAGGAGCCUGCGUCCUAUCAGCUUGUUGGCGGGGUAAUGGCCCACCAAGGCUAUGACGGGUAGCCGGUCCGAGAGGAUGUUCGGCCACAAUGCAACUGAGAUACGGUGCAUACUCCUACGGGAGGCAGCAGUUGGGAAUCGUUCGCAAUGGACGAAAGUCUGACGACGCGACGCCGCGUGCGGGAUGAAGCUCUAUCGGAGUGUAAACCGCUUUUCUGGGGGAAAAAGAUCUGAUUGUACCCCAGGAAUAAGAGGUUGCUAACUCUGUGCCAGCAGCAGCGGUAAUACAGAGACCUCGAGCGUUUUCCGGAAUCAUUGGGCGUAAAGCGUCCGCAAGUGGCUAUGUAAGUCGAAUCUGAAAUCUCACGGCUCAACCGUGAAGCCGGAUUCGAGACUGCAAAGCUAGAGGGUUGGAGAGGUAGAUGGAACUCCCGGUGUAGCAGUGAAAAUGCGUUAAGAUCGGGAAGAACACCAAAUGCGAAGGCAGUCUACUAGUCAACACCUGACACCCAGUGGACCGAAAGCGUGGGGAGCAAACGGGAUUAGAUACCCCGGUAGUCCACGCCGUAAACGAUGGGUACUAGGCAUUGGAACUUUCGACAGUUUCAGUGUCGUAAGCUAACGCGUUAAGUACCUCGCCUGGGAAGUACGGCCGCAAGGCUAAAACUCAAAGGAAUUGACGGGAACCCGCACAAGCGGUGGAUCACGUGGUUUAAUUCGAUACUGAGCGAAGAACCUUACCAAGGCUUGAAAUCUAGCUGCACGCUUCUGGAAACAGAAGCUUCCUUCGAGGGUGCUAGACAGGUGUUGCAUGGUUGUCGUCACGCUCGUGGCGUGAGCUGUUGGGUUAAGUCCCGCAACGAGCGCAACCCUUGCCCUGUGUUGAAAUCUCACAGGGGACUGCCGGCGUAUAGUCGGAGGAAGGCGAGGAUGACGUCAAAUCCGCAUGGCCCUCUGAUGCCUUGGGCUACACGCGUGAUACAAUGGCCGAUACAAAGGGACGCAGAACCGUAAGGCGAAGCAAAUCCCAUCAAAGUCGGUCCCAGUUCGAAUCGAGGGCUGCAACUCGCCCUCGUGAAGCCGGAAUCGCUAGUAGCCGUGGGUCAGCCAUACCACGGUGAAUACGUUCUCGGGUUUUGUACACACCGCCCCGUCAAGUCAAGAAAGCCAGCAACACUCAAAGACGCAUGUAUGUGCGUUCAAGGUGGGGCUGGUGAUCGGGGCU